AGUGAACGCUGGCGGUAGGCCUAACACAUGCCAGUCGAACGGCAGCACAGUAAGAGCUUGCUCUUGCGGGUGGCGAGUGGCGGACGGGUGAGGAAUACAUCGGAAUCUACUUUUUCGUGGGGGAUAACGUAGGGAAACUUACGCUAAUACCGCAUACGACCUACGGGUGAAAGCAGGGGAUCUUCGGACCUUGCGCGAUUGAAUGAGCCGAUGUCGGAUUAGCUAGUUGGCGGGGUAAAGGCCCACCAAGGCGACGAUCCGUAGCUGGUCUGAGAGGAUGAUCAGCCACACUGGAACUGAGACACGGUCCAGACUCCUACGGGAGGCAGCAGUGGGGAAUAUUGGACAAUGGGCGCAAGCCUGAUCCAGCCAUACCGCGUGGGUGAAGAAGGCCUUCGGGUUGUAAAGCCCUUUUGUUGGGAAAGAAAAGCAGCAGGUUAAUACCCCGCUGUUCUGACGGUACCCAAAGAAUAAGCACCGGCUAACUUCGUG
rnacentral:rRNA from 1 species